GUAAAGGCUGCACGAAGAAGCCCAGAAGUGUUGAUUGUUAUAAUGCUGUUUCAUGUACACCAUGAGGAUUAUCAUAUUAUUAUAUACAUAAUUAUGCAUAAUUAAUCCUCAGCUAUUCAAGAGAGUUUUCACUAGAUACUAUGUAUUUAUAGACAUACAUUCCUAUUAAUAGGUCAAAUUAUGCCAUGAUUUUUAAGCAUUGUCAUCUCUAGUAUCCAAGGCCUUCGUCCUGUGAGCAAGCCAUAUCAGAUGCUCUCAGCACACACAAAAAAGCCUCUUAGCUGAUUCAUGUGAGGACUUGAAAUUUAGCUCACAGAAUUUUCUUAGAAACUGUUAGAAGCUGGAAUUAAAUAGAAAAUGGCUUUCUGCCACUAUGUGGAACACUGAAUUUUGAGCUUUGAAAGAACCCGCACCUUGAUAUGACCUUCUUCACUAGAUAAGACUUCUAAAGCAUGUUAUGUCAGGAUCACUUGCUGUGGUGUUGACGGAAUUACUCUUGAAUGAGUCUCUAUUUUAUGGCUCUGUCAUUCAGUCUGUGCAUGAAAUGUUUUAACUCAUAGCCUUGUAGGGAUCUUACUGCCAUGCACAACAGAUUGUGAAUAAAAGAGAAAAAAAAAGGCCAGGAAAAUAGGACAGUGGGUGAUAUUCCUAUUGGAAAUUCUGAUAUCUACCUGGUAUGUCAACUCCUAAUAAGCUGAAAUAACUACUGAUGAUCAAGAAAAUGAAUUAUCUAUCAUCUAUCUAUCUAUCUAUCUAUCUAUCUAUCUAUCUAUCUAUCAUCUAUCACCUGUCUAUAAUCUAUCAUCCAUCAUCUAUUAUCUGUCUGUCAUCUAUCUACCUAUCUAUCUCAAUCAUUUAUCUAUAUGUUACUUUUGACAUAUGAUAUAGCCACAAGCUGUCUUUGAACUUUUGGUGUCGCUCAGGCAGACUUUGGACUUGUAAUCCACCCACUAGGAUUAUAGCUGUGUGUACUCUGUGUUUUAAAAUGGCCCUAGGUUUCUACAAGUCUAUCCUUCUAGAGGAGUCUGGCUCAGCCAAAUGCUGUGCCUCUUAAUAAAAGAGGGGAAAGUGCAACUUUAAGCAAGACUGGUGGGCUUAACUUAAUUUUGAUCCUUCAUCAUCACCUGCUGCUGGGUAUCCUUCUUAGCAAGAUGAGAGCAAAACAAAUUUUAAAAACUUCCUUCUGGUUUCCCUGUAGAUUUAGUAAGAUGUAGAUGCUUUUUAUGCAGAACCUGCCUCAUCACAAAAUACUGAAAAUUCAGUUUCCUGCCAUCACAAGGAGUAUACAGGACUCACUUUGGCUUAGAAGAUAAUGACAUACAUUUAAAACAGGGCAGAAUGUGGGCUGGUGAGAUGGUUUAGCCGUCAAGGGCACUUGCGGUUCUUACAGAGGGCCUGAGUUGUGUGUCCAACACCUGUAACUUGGCUUCUAAGCAUCUGGAAGUUUGUUCUAGGAGAUCUGAUUUCCUCUUCUCAUCUCUUCUCACACACUCAUACAGGCAAAUCACUCAGAGAAUAAAUGUGUAAAAUAUAAAAUAAACGGACUAUUUUAUACGUGAAUGAUUAUAAUAGCCGCUAAAGCAUGUGAGAACGCCUUACAUCAGAAAUGCGUCAAGGGCAGAGUUGUCCAAUUAAGGCCAAGGACAAAUCAAGAAGAGAAGAUGGUGAGACAAGAGACAGACCAUGAUGAAAACAAACAAACAAACAAACAAACAAACCAAAUGCCUAUCCACGUUUAAAACUCUAAACCUCACAGAGAACCUUGAUGGGAUGUCAACUUGCUGGCAAGACAGGCAAGAAGUUCAUGCUCUCUUUUACUUAAAAAAAUAAAAAUAAAAAAUUAAAUCAGGAAGAGACAGAAAAAAAGAAAAAGGCACUAAUUGCCAAGGCAGUGAAAAAUUCCUAAAUCAUAUUCUGGAUUAAACUUAAUUAUAUAUAAAGAAAUUUAGGGGAAGAGUUUAAGAAAAAAAUUCUUUAUUAAGGAAAGAUUGAAUUUAAAUUUUAAAAAAUCUCUGUUGGAAUUAAAAAAAAACUUUCAAAACCAACAGACAAAAAAGUAAACAACAACAACUGGAUAACAUGGUCCAUAUAACAAACUAGUUUUUUUUUUUAGUUCAAGCAAAUAUGAGGGAAUAUUUCAAAGAAAAAUGAUCAUGCUACAUCACAAUGAAUGUGAGGGCUGGAAGCAGCCCUGUGGGGACAACAAUGCCACAAUGCUUAGAGACGACAGGAGCAAAGAAAGGGAGUUGUAAUAUGUGCCGUCUACACAAGAAUGUCUGGAGACCACUGAUCAUGGUGUAUGAAUGCAAACAACAUGAGAAAAGUUGUUAUUAACUAAAGCAGUCAACAAUGAAAUACUCAACAGAAUUUCAAGCACCCAAAAUAAACACAUAGUCUUCAUUUUAUGAUCCGUAAGAAAAUUCACCUCAACGAUAAGCUCCUGGACUCAAAGCAGAAAACACACAUGCAUC
rnacentral:lncRNA from 1 species